AUUGAACGCUGGCGGCAGGCUUAACACAUGCAAGUCGAACGGGUGGCGGACGGGUGAGUAAUGCUUGGGAAUCUGGCUUAUGGAGGGGGAUAACGACGGGAAACUGUCGCUAAUACAGCGUACCCUAGGAUGAGACCAAUUGGGCUUAGGUAGUUGGUGGGUGAAGUGCCUACCAAGGCGACGAGCUCUAUCUGGUCUGAGAGGAUGACCAGCCACACCUGGCGUGAGACACGGCCCGGAAUCCGACGGGAGGCCUCAGUGGGGAAUAUUGCGCAAUGGGGGCAACCUGACGCAGCCAUGCCGCGUGAAUGAAGAAGGCCUUCGGGUUGUAAAGUUCUUUCGGUGACGAGGCGUUAAUCACAGAAGAAGCACCGGCUAACUCCGUGCCAGCAGCCGCGGUAAUAC
rnacentral:rRNA from 1 species